GUGGGGAGGGCAGGACGCCCCAUGGUUGGAAAUAAGAGGGUUCCUGCCCAGAACCCUUCUUGUGAGAGAUGUGCACUUUAAGGGGUGACUUUGUUACAAAUGCCUAUGGCUGGGUUUGUGGGGGAGGAGCACUCUAAUCUACCAGACUCUGCUUAAUCCUCUGCUUCAGCCCUUUCCCAUCUCUCCUCACCAUUCCUCCCACAAGGCUUCUAGCAGCUUGGGGGCUAGGAGAUUCUCGAGAGAGGCCCCUCCAGGGGUCAGAGUGAAGGACUGCCUUGCCCAGGACCCAGUCAUGGGACUUUGAGGAAAGACCUGACCAAGUUAUCAAGCUUCUGGAAAGGUGGCUGACUUAACAGAUCUCCUCCUACUCAACAUGCCAAGCCUGCUUUGGGAUUCCCUUGAGUCUAGUUGGUAAUGGUGACUUGAAAGAACCAGUGGACCCUUUACCCCCAGGUACCUACCACCCCUCUGUUGUCGUGUCUGUGUUGUGCCUAAGUGCCUGCGCUGCCCUUACCCUUCUGCUGCCCUGAUUUCUGCAUGGUGUCUUGACCUGGGCUUCGUGUAGCUGCACUGCCUUUCAUCUUCUGCAAAAUUGGCUUUGUCCACUCUGACCGGGGCCUCUAUCUAGUUUUUGGGUUGUCUGGGUUGUCUCUGGUUUCCUCCUCACCUAAUAUUUAUUUUUAAAUUCAAAAUCAUGUCCUCCUCUUCCACUGCCAGGCAGCUUGGUGGAGAAACAAUGAUGGAACCCAUGCCC